rnacentral:rRNA from 1 species
UACGGAGGGUGCAAGCGUUAUCCGGAUUCACUGGGUUUAAAGGGUGCGUAGGUGGGCUAGUAAGUCCGUGGUGAAAUCUCCAAGCUUAACUUGGAAACUGCCGUGGAUACUAUUAGUCUUGAAUCUCGUGGAGGUAAGCGGAAUAUGUCAUGUAGCGGUGAAAUGCUUAGAUAUGACAUAGAACACCGAUAGCGAAGGCAGCUUGCUACACGAGUAUUGACACUGAGGCACGAAAGCGUGGGGAUUAAACAGG